AAAACUUUAAGUUAUUUAAACUCUAAAUCUUCAAAAUUUAAUAUAAAAUAUAUUAUUUAAUAUUUUAAGUUUUA
rnacentral:tRNA from 1 species